UACGAAGGACCCGAGCGUUAUCCGGAUUUAUUGGGCUUAAAGGGUGCGUAGGCGGAUUAGUAAGUCAGUGGUGAAAGCCCGUCGCUUAACGGCGGAACUGCCAUUGAUACUGCUAGUCUUGAGUAUGGUUGAGGUGGGCGGAAUGUGUCAUGUAGCGGUGAAAUGCUUAGAUAUGACCCAGAACCCCAAUUGCGAAGGCAGCUCGCUAAGCCAUAACUGACGCUGAGGCACGAAAGCGUGGGGAGCAAACAGG
rnacentral:rRNA from 1 species